UACGUGGGGGACUAGCGUUGUCCGGAAUCAUUGGGCGUAAAGCGCGCGUAGGCUGUCAGUUAAGUCUGGUGUGAAAGUCAAAGGCUCAACCUUUGAAUGCCGCUGGAAACUGGCUGACUUGAGUCCGGAAGGGGCGAGUGGAAUUCCUGGUGUAGCGGUGAAAUGCGCAGAUAUCAGGAGGAACACCAAUGGCGAAGGCAGCUCGCUGGAACGGUACUGACGCUGAGGCGCGAAAGCGUGGGGAGCAAACAGG
rnacentral:rRNA from 1 species